rnacentral:rRNA from 1 species
GACGAACGCUGGCGGCGUGCUUAACACAUGCAAGUCGAACGGAAAGGCCCUGCUUUUGUGGGGUGCUCGAGUGGCGAACGGGUGAGUAACACGUGAGUAACCUGCCCUUGACUUUGGGAUAACUUCAGGAAACUGGGGCUAAUACCGGAUAGGAGCUCCUGCUGCAUGGUGGGGGUUGGAAAGUUUCGGCGGUUGGGGAUGGACUCGCGGCUUAUCAGCUUGUUGGUGGGGUAGUGGCUUACCAAGGCUUUGACGGGUAGCCGGCCUGAGAGGGUGACCGGCCACAUUGGGACUGAGAUACGGCCCAGACUCCUACGGGAGGCAGCAGUGGGGAAUAUUGCACAAUGGGCGGAAGCCUGAUGCAGCCACGCCGCGUGCCGGAUGACGGCCUUCCGGUUGUAAACCGCUUUCGCCUGUGACGAAGCGUGAGUGACGGUAAUGGGUAAAGAAGCACCGGCUAACUACGUG